UCAAGCUACUAAGGGCUGACGGUGGAUGCCUUGGCGUACAGAGGCGAUGAAGGACGUGGCUAGCUGCGAUAAUCUUCGGGUAGGUGCUAAGCAACCUUUGAUCCGGAGGUCUCCGAAUGGGAAAACCUCAACGGCUCGUCCGUUGAUCAUGCACUGAAUACAUAGGUGUAUGAGGCUAACCUGGUGAAGUGAAACAUCUCAGUAACCAGAGGAAAAGAAAUCAAAAUGAGAAUCCCUCAGUAGCGGCGAGCGAACGGGGAAUAGGCCAAACUGAUAGGAUUCGUCCUAUCAGGGUUGUAGGGCCCUCAACAUAGGACCGCAAGGGAAAGCAGAAACGACUGGAAAGAGUUCCAAAGAGGGUGAUAGACCCGUAUGCGAAAUCUUGAGCGGCUUUAGAGGGUACCUGAGUACCACAGGGCACGUGUAACCCGGUGGGAAUCUGGGAGGACCAUCUUCCAAGCCUAAUUACUACUGUACGACCGAUAGUGAACCAGUACCGUGAGGGAAAGGUGAAAAGUACCCCGGCUAGGGGCAGUGAAAUAGUACCUGAAACCGUCAGCUUACAAGCAGUUCGAGGACUAUAGCUUCGGCUACGUCUGAGAGCGUGCCUUUUGAAUGAUGAGUCCACGAGUUGCGUUACGUCGCAAGGUUAAGCCGUUAGGUGUAGCCGCAGGGAAACCGAGUAUGAAUAGUGCGUAUAGUGGCGUGACGCAGACCCGAAGCGUUGUGAUCUACACAUGGCCAGGAUGAAGCGCGGGUAAAACCGCGUGGAGGUCCGGACCCACCAAAGUUGAAAAUUUGGGGGAUGAGCUGUGUGUAGGGGUGAAAGGCUAAUCAAACUACGUGAUAGCUGGUUCUCUCCGAAAAAUAUUUAGGUAUUGCCUCGAGGCAUUCACUGCCGGCGGUAGAGCACUCAAAGGGCUAGGGGGCCUACCCGCUUACCAAACCCUAUGAAACUCCGAAUUCCGGCAAGUGUUAUCUCGGGAGGCAGACUGCGGGUGAUAAGAUCCGUAGUCGAGAGGGAAAGAGCCCAGAUCGUCAGCUAAGGUCCCUAAAUCCAUACUAAGUGGAAAACGAUGUGGGAGCGCUUAGACAACCAGGAGGUUGGCUUAGAAGCAGCCACCCUUUAAAGAAAGCGUAAUAGCUCACUGGUCAAGCGAACCUGCGCGGAAAAUAUAACGGGGCUCAAGUAUGGUACCGAAGCUACGAGUUCAGAAAUGAGCGGUAGGAGAGCAUUGGAGUUGCUGUUGAAGGUCAACCGUAAGGAUGGCUGGAGGUCCUCCAAGGGCAAAUGUGGACAUGAGUAGCGAUAAAACAGGUGAGAAACCUGUUCGCCGAAAACCUAAGGUUUCCUGGGGCAGGCUAAUCCGCCCAGGGUUAGUCGGGUCCUAAGCCGAGGCCUAGCGGCGUAGGCGAUGGACAGCAGGUUAAUAUUCCUGCACUACCAGUUUGGUGUAGAAGCCAGCAGGGACGGAGAAGGGUAGACGAGCCGAGGACGGAUUGCUCGGUUCAAGCAAGUAGGGGUCACUUAUACGAUCAAAAGGUAAGUGAGUUAUCCCCGAGACGUGAUGUAUAGGUUCUUAGCUUCGGCGGAACCAAUUCGUUGAUCCCAUGCUUCCAAGAAAAGCUGCGGGUGGAACCGUACUGGUACCCGUACUGUAAACCGACACAGGUAGGUAGGUCGAGAAGACCAAGGCGCUUGAGAGAACUCUGGUAAAGGAACUCUGCAAAUUAACACCGUAACUUUGGGAUAAGGUGUGCCGACGAGGGUGAUGGGACUUGCUCCCUAAGCUUUUGUCGGUCGCAGCUAAGCGGGGGUAGCGACUGUUUACCAAAAACACAGGCUUCUGCUAAAUCGUAAGAUGAUGUAUAGGAGCUGACUCCUGCCCGGUGCCGGAAGGUUAAGGGGAUUGCUUAGCGCAAGCGAAGGCAUGAGCCGAAGCCCCGGUAAACGGCGGCCGUAACAAUAACGGUCCUAAGGUAGCGAAAUUCCUUGGCGGGUAAGUUCCGUC
rnacentral:rRNA from 1 species